rnacentral:lncRNA from 1 species
CUAAAGUUUAAAGGUGAUUUAAAAAAAUCUCACUGGCACAGGGCAGGAGUAAAAGGAGAAAUGAGAAUAGUCAGGGACUCAUUGUUAUUAUGCUCUUGAGGAGGACUCUGAGUGAAGGACUGGAGAAAGAAUGCCGCACUGCCUGUGGGAGGCAAAGGUGGCAAUUCUGCACACCCUGUGAAUCUGGAAGGGGAAGACCACCUUACUACCUCAUAGCCAUGGAUAGCAGGGAAAAGUCCCGAUACAUUAAAAGUAACCAAGAGAGGCACUGGAACAAGGAGCAGCAAGAAAGAGCAGUGACACAGAGAGACUCCGCUUGGAACACAGAAGUAUUUUGAGCAGCAGAUUUGAGGAGGUGAGAUCAAGUUGAACUAAAAGACAUGGCCUGCG